rnacentral:rRNA from 1 species
UACGGAGGGUGCAAACGUUGCUCGGAAUCAUUGGGCGUAAAGCGCACGUAGGCGGACCGCUAAGUCGGAUGUGAAAGCUCUCGGCUUAACCGAGGAAGUGCAUUCGAAACUGACGGUCUUGAGUAUGGAAGAGGGUCGCGGAAUUCCCGGUGUAGAGGUGAAAUUCGUAGAUAUCGGGAGGAACACCAGUGGCGAAGGCGGCGACCUGGGCCAAUACUGACGCUGAGGUGCGAAAGCGUGGGGAGCAAACAGG